CCCUUAGAUGUUCUGGGCCGCACGCGCGCUACACUGAUGCAUUCAACGAGUCUAAAACCUGGUCUGAUUGGGCUGGGUAAUCUUUUGAAUGUGCAUCGUGAUUGGGAUAGAUGAUUGCAAUUCUUCAUCUUCAACGAGGAAUGCCUAGUAAACGCAAGUCAUCAGCUUGCAUUGAUUACGUCCCUGCCCUUUGUACACACCGCCCGUCGCUCCUACCGAUUGAAUGUUCCGAUGAAUACCAUGGACUGAGAGUAUGAAUGGGUUCGCCUAUUUCUGCUUCUCGGGAAGUGGAGUAAAUCUUAACAUUUAGAGGAAGGAGAAGUCGUAACA
rnacentral:rRNA from 1 species